rnacentral:lncRNA from 1 species
UGGGUUGUUGUUAAACAUAAAAAUGGUCAGAGCAUGUUACAGUACCAUGCUCAAUAAAUUCCUAAGGGAGUGCAGGGCAAAUUUGCAAGAUAUGAGACAGAUUGAUGUCAUAAGAACAGCACAUGAUAUACAACAUCAAGCAGCAUGAGUUUGCAAUUUUUGAGAGAACAUUUAAAUAUUUUGUUGCAUUAUUUAAACCAGUAUAUGUGAUGUAGGACAAGUUACCAGCAAAUUUGCAAUGCAUUAUAAUUUUAAAAAAAAUCAGGUCAGAC